CAAGUACUCCCUCCGUCCGGAAUUACUUGUCAUCAAAAUGGAUGUGUCUAGAACUAAAAUACAUCUAGAUACAUCCAUUUCAAUGACAAGUAUUUUCGGAUGGAGGGAGUACAAG
rfam:Triticum aestivum genome assembly, contig: Triticum_aestivum_CS42_TGACv1_scaffold_578484_7BL